rnacentral:rRNA from 1 species
GAUGAACGCUGGCGGCGUUGCUUAACACAUGCAAGUCGAACGAAGCACUCUAUUUUGAUUUUCUUCGGAAAUGAAGAUUUUGUGACUGAGUGGCGGACGGGUGAGUAACGCGUGGGUAACCUGCCUCAUACAGGGGGAUAACAGUUGGAAACGACUGCUAAUACCGCAUAAGCGCACAGGAUCGCAUGAUCCGGUGUGAAAAACUCCGGUGGUAUGAGAUGGACCCGCGUCUGAUUAGCCAGUUGGCAGGGUAACGGCCUACCAAAGCGACGAUCAGUAGCCGACCUGAGAGGGUGACCGGCCACAUUGGGACUGAGACACGGCCCAAACUCCUACGGGAGGCAGCAGUGGGGAAUAUUGCACAAUGGGGAAACCCUGAUGCAGCGACGCCGCGUGAGCGAAGAAGUAUUUCGGUAUGUAAAGCUCUAUCAGCAGGGAAGAAGAAUGACGGUACCUGACUAAGAAGCACCGGCUAAAUACGUGCC